UACCUUAUUAAUUCUGUCAGCGCUAUAGGUUCAGCUAAGAGACUGAGCUAUGCAUAUUGAGUUCAACUUUGGAAUCAAACUGCGAACAGCUCAUCAUAGCUGAUGAAAUUUCUUAGGAAAUGUUUGGAUGGAUUACUGCGGUAAUUUUGGAGUUAAUACAUGCAAAAUAAGUUUUGUUUUGUUCUACAAAUUCGCAGAAUUGGAAUAACGCAGCAUAUUCCAAGAAGUAGCUACCCUAAUAACCUCAUGGUAGUCCAUUAGUCUACUAUGGUUAUUACGGCUAACGGAGAAUAAGGGUUCGACUCCGAAGAGGGAGCCUUAGAAACGCUACCACAUCGAAAAAAUACAGCAGUCGCGAAACUUAUCCAAUCUUUGGGAGGUGAGAUAGUGACUAGAAAUAAGAGUGGAAUCACGUCUGCUGCCAAUAGCCUUGGUAAUUCCAAUUCCACUGAUGUAAAUCGUUACUGCUGCGGUGAAAAAGCUCGUAGUUGGAUGAGAGUUACAUGUAAUGGUUCGCCUUUGACUUUAAUCGUGUUUGUAUGCUGAUUUUUAUCAGAGUUUCAACUUUUUUAGUGACUAGUGAGUUUACCUUGAAUAAAUUAGAACGGUAAAAACAAGUGCUUGCUUGAAUCGCUGAUCAUAAAAUAAUAGAAGAUGACUUCGAUUCUAUUAAUCAAUUGAAAAACUGGAAUAAUGGUUGAAAGGGAAGAUUCGGGGCAUUCGUAUCCCUGCGCGAGUGAUGAAAUUCGUGAACGUAAGCUGAGCCAUUUAGCAAUUCGAUGUGGUACUAAUAAUAGGACGUUGUCAAGCAGCUUCUAAGACACGAAA
rnacentral:ncRNA from 1 species